ACGAGAUUCCCACUGUCCCU
rnacentral:snRNA from 1 species